rnacentral:rRNA from 1 species
AUACGGAGGAUACGAGCGUUAUCCGGAUUUAUUGGGUUUAAAGGGUGCGUAGGCGGUUUAUUAGGUUUAAGGUGAAAUAUAGGUGCUUAACAUUUAUAAGCCUUAGAAACCGGUAGACUAGAAUAUAAGUGGGGCAGGCGGAAUAAAUCAUGUAGAGGUGACAUUCAUAGAUAUGAUUUAGAACACCGGUCGCGAAGGCAGCUUGUCAAGAUAAUAUUGACGCUGAGGCACGAAAGCGUGGGUAUCGAACAGGAUUAGAUACCCUGGUAGUCCACGCUGUAAACGAUGAUAACUAUAUGUUGGCGAUAAAAUGUCAGUGUAGGAGAGAAAUUGAUAAGUUAUCCACCUGGGGAGUACGACCGCAAGGUUGAA